rnacentral:rRNA from 1 species
UACGGAGGGUGCAAGCGUUAUCCGGAUUCACUGGGUUUAAAGGGUGCGUAGGUGGGCAGGUAAGUCAGUGGUGAAAUCUCCGGGCUUAACCCGGAAACUGCCGUUGAUACUAUCUGUCUUGAAUGUAGUGGAGGUGAGCGGAAUAUGUCAUGUAGCGGUGAAAUGCUUAGAUAUGACAUAGAACACCCAUUGCGAAGGCAGCUCGCUACACUAUUAUUGACGCUGAGGCACGAAAGCGUGGGGAUCAAACAGG